AAUGAGACCCCUGGAGAACUUCAAAUUGUCGCGCGAAGUCCCUGGUCGCGAUUCCAGAGCAGAGGAUGUCGGAGAAAACCUGAUUUCCGGCCGGUGGACGCUUGUUGGCAGCGAGGGAAAGCGUUGGGGAGCAUCCUGAGGCUCGCGCGCUCGCGCUGGUGUCAGCGGCUUGGCCGGAGAAGGUCUGUGGCCUCCUGGCCACGUGCGCAGGCUCCCAUGGCGGCCAUGGCGGAGCUCUGUGACGGGAAACCGGCUCAUGGCCGAGUCCGACGAGGGAAGAGAGUGUUAGCUGGCUUAGACGAUGCUCAAGGAUGCUGCGGAGCAGAGGAAGAGAGCAACGGGGCUGAGGUGGGAGGAGCGAGAUGAAUUCCAUCGGCGUUUUCGGUCGCAGAAAGAUGUCGGCCGCGGGGGAAAAGCAUAAGAGAUGAUGGGCGAAGGCUCGAGGCGUCCACGUUGCAUGGUGAAGCAGGCAGGCAAGCCCCUGCGUGCUUGCACGCACGCGCAGUGGCCUCCACUGCUGAAGCCGGUGGCAGAGACUCCCGGGACGCUCUUUCCCUCUGCCGACACUGUAGCAGAGAGUUAUCCCCUUCUCUGUCCUUUUCAAAUUACUUCAAAAUUUUGAAUAGAAGUCAAAUUUCUGUCAAAAUGAAACUUGUUCAGAAUUUUGAAUGCUACAAAACAUAUUUAAGGAUCCAAAGCUGAUUUUGAAUGGAGAGGGACGAAUUUGAGCCAAACAGUUUGAAAUUCAAAUUCCAAUUUGUGGGAAAAUUCCAAUUUGAAUUGGGGCAGAAUAGAAAUUCCAAAAUUACUUUUGAUUUUUAUCAAUAAUUUGAAAAAUUCCCAAAAUAAAAGUUGUUCAUUUUGAUGAUCCCUACAACUUUCAUUUUGAUCACUUUUCAAGAUUCCAAACAGAUUUUGAAUUAGGGAUUCAAAUUGGAAAAGGGGACAAUUUUGAAAAUCUGUAUUUUCAAAAUUACUUUGAAUUUUGUACUGAAACUUCAACACCAAAGUUGUACAUCUUGACAAGAUCUACAACGUUUCUUUUGAACUCAACUUCAAAUUUUGCUUAGUUUUUAAAUUGCACAAAAGGGGGCAAAACAAGGCUUUUAAAAUCAGGGUUUUUCCCUUAGCUAUUCCCUUACCACCCUCCUUAACUAGGGAUUAAACCACCAUCACAAGCAUCUCUUCACAAGAUAAACACACUUUAAUUCCCUAAGCACAAUCAACCAAAAUAAACUUAUUUUAAGUUGAUGCAUAAUAAUGUGCUUAACAAAUAUGCUUUGCAAUGCUUAUGAUGACAUGAUCCAGUUUUAGUGUUCGUAACAUCAGGGAUGUUACAGCCCUUCCCCCUUAAAGAAAUCUCGUCCCCGAGAUUUUCAGGGUACUAAAACCCGUGGGGUUAAGUAAUGGAAAAGUAAAUGUGUCAAGCACAUUAACUUCUGAGAAAUUCAUACAACAAUUACGAUUGGUCCGAGAAUUACAACUAAGAUCAACAAGAAGUUGUAAUCAAUCAGGAAUUUUAGAGAAUUCAUACGAAGAUAUGAAUCUCCAAAUGAGCUUCCAAGGAGAAUGAAAGCACACUAACUGUAGACUAUAGUGGAGCAUGACCAGAGAUCCCGAUGUUUAACGAGCACUCUGUAGUAUUUCCUUAUGGCUGCAGUCCACAGGAGACUACAAGGUUCGACGCUAUAACGUGAUCACGGAUCAUGGUACCUACUAUAGAGUACGGUUACCAUAGCUUUCAAUGACCUAUGUUGGUAUUUAAAGUCAAGGGUUUUAGGUAAUUCCAAAGAGAUAUGGACAUGGAUUCCCAUAAUAUGGUUCAAAGAGUGAGGUCACCUUAAUUGUGGUGCUAUAAGAGAUCAUGAUCAUAGACUUUGAUAACAGCGAGCGCCCGGCAGUAUUUCCUUAUGGUCGCGAGCCAUAGGAGACCCCAGGUUUCGGCGCUGUUACCUAAGUCAUGGGUCAUGGUACCUUAAGAGGACACAAUCAUAGUGACAUUCAAUCAACAGAAAUGUUGACAAAUGACAUCAAGGAGGUAGCAUGUGUCCGAAUUAGAUGAAAUCAAGGAAGGUCACAUGCAUAACAAAUGGAUCAAGGAUUAGGAUCUUAUGGAGUAAAAGAUUAUCAAUCGGUUAACGAAACCUGGUACAUGAUGAGAUUCAUCAAUAAAACAGCUAUAAUGAAUAAUAACUGUUUUUGAAGCAUAAGGAGGAAGUUUUAAGCAUCAUUAUAUUUUCAAAUUAUGCAUGAUAUGCAAUAUGCUCGUCCUAUACGUCUUCUCAACGGCGAGAGUGCUCCAUCUUCAUCAUGUUAGUAGAUUAUAGGGCUUUAUUUAUACACUAUCUUCAUCGCUCUGGAUGGAAUGUUGCAAGACUUUUGACAAAGCAUUGUUGGAGUAGUUUGGUUCUUCACUUGGCUUGUUGAAGAAGAAUUGAAGUCCCUUUCAAUGCCUUCUAUUUGAGUCAGCAGAAAGUCUUCGUAGAACCCGGACAGCAAGCAUAAGAAAAGUUAAGGAAUAUUUAUAAGUUGUUAUCCUCAAAAACUUUUAAUUUGUAAAUUUCUUUUGAACUUUUCACAAGUAAUGUUGCAGAAGGUCCAUGUAUGAGCUCUGAUACCAGCUGUGGCAGAACCUCCUGAAUUAAGUGGCCCACAUGCACCUAUCAUUGUCUCAAAGACUUCUGAUCGGUGUGCAGGAGUUCCAAAUGACUCAAGAAGUAUGUCGGGUGUCCUCGGGAAACCCGAAUCAUCCACGUUUUGACUCAUACAGGAUCAACAUGGAGUUACCACAACAUUACAACAUUUGUUACAAAAAUAACUUACAUCAGAGUGCGAAAGAUUUAUAACUUAAUUUACAACAUAUGAUGAAGUAGAAACUUAACUAAAUUUUUAAAAGGUGUAUAGAGUAGCGGAAGCAUCCUAGGUGAAGCUUCUAAGGUAGAAGAGGUGGAUAAAUCAUGUCGCGCCCACCGACAUGACCUCCAUUAGCAGUCUAAGUCAGCACCUGCAACAGGGGUUAUAAAACCCUGAGUACAAAAGUACUCAACAAGACUUAACCGACUAGAAAAGAGGUGAAGACUCAGGUAUGCAGGCUAUAGGGAUUCAAGGUAAAACUUUAUCAAGAUCAAGAAUUUCUUUUGCAUAAAAGCUUACUAAGAGUAAAACCUACUUUCAAGUUUUAACUCAAGAUCAUCAUUUAUGACUAACCAAAACUAUUAUCAAACUUUCAUAAGCAUACCACCUCUUUCUUAUAUCAAAGAUUCACUUCUUACUACGAUGAUGGGGUGAGGAUUGAGGCUCCAUAUCCGAGGAAACACGGCGAUUCGAAUCGAUUAAACCCAGCUGGGGAUUCAGUACCACACGACAUAUGUAGAACUUAAUCUUGCAUAUGUCAACCUGUUUCUAUAGAUCCUCCCAUACAAGAACGGGUCCAGCGUCACCCGAGAGUACAGUACACCACCAUCCUACAGCCAAUCUAGAUGUUUCCCGGUCAUCUCAGAUCCGUAAGGUGGGUACACGCUACUCUCGCCAUCUUUCCACUCCCAGUACGCGGUUAGCCGUUCUCAAGUAUCGGAAUAGCUAUAGGUAAGGCUUACCGCCGCAUGUGGGCUGUACUCAAAGUUCUCAAUCACAACAGGCCAACAACGGUACGGUCCUUAAUCGACACAGUUGGAGACACUACUUUAAGACUCCAUUCUUAAAGCAAGUCCACCGACCGGUCUCAAGUUGAACAUCAUUAACCAUAAAAGUAUUUCACAACAACCCUUCAAACUUUCUCAUUUGAAAACCUAUCUCAUAAGCAGGGCUAAGCAUACUAAGUAUUUUCAUAAAACAAGUAUCAAGGUUAAUAUGGAAAUCAUCAAGGUAGGUAAUGCAGCAAAUAGGAUUCACUCAACUCCUACUCACCUAAUGCAUCAUAUUAACUCAAGUGAUAUAAAUAACUUUAUGAAAAUACAAGGAUAGGGUUUAAUGUCCGGGGCUUGCCUUGGCCGGAAGGGAAGUCCGACAACUCAGCAAAACCAGAUGGAUCCACAAACUCGGAAGCAACCCACUGAGGAUUAGAUUCCUCCGGAGCGUAGUCUACACGUAGAGGUGCAUAUGCAUGAUCAAUGAGAUGUUCAUGACAUGAUAAAGACAGGUUACAAGUUCUUGGAUGAUAACAACAAACAUAACUGCCUCGAGUACAACUUACCUUCACGGUAUAGAAACAAACUAACUUAGUUAUCAAAACAUAGAUUACUACUAAACAAAUUUUAUCAUCUUCAUUAAGCAAGGUUGUGUAGAUCUCAUGCCAAGUAACCACUAGUUGUCAAUCAAUCCCAAAGACCAAUCAAAACCUAAAAUGAUUAGGUUUUCUAUUUAUCUUAAUCAAUUCUUAAUUAAAUAUUAAUGGCAGUAAUUAAGUAUUAACAUCAAACAAUAAUUAAGUGCCAAAGGUCAUUAAUGUUAAUGACCUUAGGUCAUCACACAAUCCCAAAAGCACUCAAAUUCUAAUUUGGAAAUCAAGCAACCCAUUAUUUAAGUAAAGGCUAGCUAAAAACAAAUAACUCUAUUUGCACACAUAACCAGGACAGCAGCAUAUACACAACUUCAUUCAACCAUAAUUAGAGAUCCAAACAUCCAAUAAAGAUGAUAUUAGACUUUCUAGAAAGCUUAGAUAAUUUUCUACAACUUUGUUAUUAUCUUCGAGAACUGAUUUAAAAGAUAAAAUAGCCAAACAGCAUGAAUAAACAAUUCUGUCCAGACUUUGGACAGAAUCAGACAUUAAGCUUUAUACCUCUAUAACCAGAGUUCUAGAUCACCAAACGUCAUGAUCCAUAACAUUUUGGAAAGCUUAUGAAAAUUACUACAAUUUAUCUUUCAUCAUCAAAUCAUGAUUCACAAGUUUAGUAGGUCGAAAUUGCACAACUACAGAAACUGAUCCAGAAAUCACUAAUAAUUUAAUUAUAGACAAAUAACAUUUCAUUUAUAUUUCAAACUUGGACCUGGGCAAAACCCAGCUCACCAAUAGUUGAAAUACAUCAAAGAGAUACUAGAAAACAUCAUGGUCAUCCCUAAAUAAAUUCCUUUCAUGUCUUUAUUAAUUUAUUUAGGUAAAUAGACAAAGUAAUAACCAUGUAUCAAAAGUAUACAGUAAAUUCUGAGAAAACUACAGCAGCUCAUAUAUGUUCUCCAAAGUCUACUAUAUUAAUUUCAUGCCAUUUGGAUAAGUAUAGCAAUUUCCAUGAAAAAGAUAAAUUGCCAUCACAAGAAAGCAUGUAACAGCAAGAUAAUUAAGAAACUCGACAUUUUCUACAAACACAUAGCUAAAUUAUGUAUCUGUAUGAUAUAAAGACCUCAUAUAAAGGUACAGGAACCAUAUUUUAUAUUUAUUUAUUUUUAGUUUAAUUUUAAACUAUUUAAUAAGCACUAAACAAGAUAAAUUAAUAACUUAACCAUAUAUCAUCUACUGAACAUGAAAUUUUUACGGUAACACUCACAUAACAUCACGAGAACACCAUAAAAAUUCCAGGGCAAUAGGAUCUACACCGAAUAAGAUAUGAAUUUCUCCUUUUUAAACAUAAUUAAAAGGCAUAAAUCAUAACCAAUUAUUUUACUACAAAAUAUGGUCAGUUUCAUAUUUUUAAUAAAAACUAGACAUCUCAAGGAGCACAACAAAAUUUAGUUCACCAAAAUUGGAGCUACCAAACUCCAGAUAUGAGUUUUCAAAGAUUCAACAAAACAUCUACAAACAAGUCCUUAUAGCACUAUUCACCUGAGUCACAGUCUGUGCAAUGAGACCCCUGGAGAACUUCAAAUUGUCGCGCGAAGUCCCUGGUCGCGAUUCCAGAGCAGAGGAUGUCGGAGAAAACCUGAUUUCCGGCCGGUGGACGCUUGUUGGCAGCGAGGGAAAGCGUUGGGGAGCAUCCUGAGGCUCGCGCGCUCGCGCUGGUGUCAGCGGCUUGGCCGGAGAAGGUCUGUGGCCUCCUGGCCACGUGCGCAGGCUCCCAUGGCGGCCAUGGCGGAGCUCUGUGACGGGAAACCGGCUCAUGGCCGAGUCCGACGAGGGAAGAGAGUGUUAGCUGGCUUAGACGAUGCUCAAGGAUGCUGCGGAGCAGAGGAAGAGAGCAACGGGGCUGAGGUGGGAGGAGCGAGAUGAAUUCCAUCGGCGUUUUCGGUCGCAGAAAGAUGUCGGCCGCGGGGGAAAAGCUUAAGAGAUGAUGGGCGAAGGCUCGAGGCGUCCACGUUGCAUGGUGAAGCAGGCAGGCAAGCCCCUGCGUGCUUGCACGCACGCGCAGUGGCCUCCACUGCUGAAGCCGGUGGCAGAG
rnacentral:lncRNA from 1 species